AUGAUGAUGACCUCGCGUGUGAUGCUGAAUUAUAUUGGGAGGAAAAUGUGCCAGGGGCUGUGGGAGAAGCCGUGUGGACCUGGUAGCUGCUGGGGACGUCCUGAUUUAGGAAGCCACUCCUCAGAGAUGCCUGUGGCGCAAGAUUUCCUGCCUCUGAAGCUUCUUGGUCAUGCAAGAGCCAAAGGUUCCAUUGCUGCCCAGUUGUGUGUUGUGGUUUGGGGAGUUCUUCCCAGAGCCUAUCCUGGUGUCUGCUUCUUCAUCCCUCCCGUGAUCCUGUGGUCUGUCUUUGCUGUGUUGUUUCUUAUUUGUUGUUGUUGUUGUGCUGUGCUCAGUCAUGUCCGACUCUUUGUGACCCCAUGGACUGUACAUGCCAAGUUCAUCUGUCCAUGGGAUUUCCCGGGCAAGAAUACUGGAGUGGGUUGCCAUUCCCUUCUCCAGGGGAUCUUCUCGACCCAGGGAUCAAGCCCAGGUCUCCUGCAUUGCCUGGCAGAUUCUUUAUCGCUUGAGCCACCCAGGAAGCCUUUACGCCUUCAUAAAUACCUUUCUGCUCAAACUCACUGGAGUGGAUUCUGUGGUCUAGAACCUAGAACUGUGAUCAACACCCCACCCCUGGGAGGAAUGCUUCUCCCUGUGGUUGGUUUCUUCCUGGUAACUCACAGGCCUUCUGAGAGGUACUUUGUGAGCGUGGAGCCGGCAGGCAUGCAGCCCUCCCCUGAGACAAGGAUUGCACCCUGCUCUGGUUCCAGCUGCAUGGGGAUCCUUUUCUGAAAACAGAAGCCCAGGUCCCCUGGGAGUUAUAACUGGAAGCUUCCAGUUGAAAAGGUGAUUGCUGUUCCUAAUGUCCUGGUUGAAAGGAAACAAGAAGGAAGACGUGUUCAUUCUCCCUCUAGAAAGAAAGCAGAGAACUAUACUUUGAGCACCUCUUUCUUUUUUCCCCCUAAUAUUUAUUUGUUUGGCUGUGCCAAACAAAUGAUUUUGUUCUUUAUCCACUCAGCCGUGUCCGACUCUUUGCAACCCUAUCGACUGUAGCCUGCCAGGCUCCUCUGUCCAUGGGAUUUCCCAGGGAAGAAUACUAGAGUGGGUUGCCAUUUCCUUCUCCAGGGCAUCUUCCCAACCCAGGGAUUGAACCUGGGUCUCCUGCAUUGCAGGCAGAUUCUUCACCAUCUGAGCCUUCAGAGAAACCCAUGCUGGGUCUUAAUUGCAGCAUAUAGGAUCUACUUCCUUCACCAGGGAUCAAGUCUGUGCCCCGCUACAUUGGGAGCUUGGAGUCUUAGCUACUGGACCACCAGGGAAGUACCAUUUUGCCCAUUUUUUAAUUGAGCUAUUUAUCUUUCAUUAUUGGUUGUAAGAGUUCUUUACAUGUGCUGAAUACAAGCCCCUUAUCAGGUAUAUAAUUUGCAGAUAUCAUCUUAUCUUUGUGGGUUGUCCUUUCACUUGCUUAAUGGUGUCAAUAUUUCAAAAUUCAAAAUUUUGACUCAUCCUUUUCUCAAGUCCUGCCCUCCCUAACAUGUAAUGAGACACAAAUCUCACUGAUUCUGCCUUAGAAAUAUCUCUGAAAUGUACUCCACCCCCACUGCCCUGAACAUCCCCACCAGGGAAGUCCUAAGCACCUGUUUCAAUAACCCUGGCCCGGAGCUGCUUCCUGUGUGUAUGUGUAUGUGUGUGUGUGUGUGUGUCUCUGUGUGUGUGUGUCUGUUAAUAACUGAAGGACUAAUCUUCUGGGGAAUUUCUUCAGACCAAACACUCAGCUUGCUUCUUAUAUUAGUCACAUAGUCUGUUUGUUGUUCUCUGAUACUCUGACAUCUUGGGGACUGCUGGCCCUGAAGAGAUUUCCCUUCCAUGGGAUUAGCCAGUUCCUAGAGACAGUAAGCAACUCACCUGGGAGUGGACCUUUAAAAUGUAGACCAAUCCAGAGCUUGUACCCCUAACCACUUCCUUUACUGGGUUCUUCCACUCCAGAUCAUUAUCUACCUGCCCUCAUCACCCAGGAGCAAGGCCCCAAGUAUCUAAGGACAGCCCCCAAUAUGCCCAGCAUCAGCAGAGAUUACUUAAACCAGCCAAUCCUCAGCCUUCUUCGCCUGCGUCACCUGUAACUUCCUGAGGAAACCCCAGUGGAGGCUCUUGUCCAAACUUCCCCUCUCUCCCUCUGCCACCCAGACUGACUGUGAGGUUUCUCUGUGUGUCACCCAUGGUUUGCCACGUCCCCUUCUCUUGGGAUCUCUGGGUGUAACUACUUUUUCAGAGGCAGUUGUCUCCUGAUUUAUUGACCUCACCAUACCUAAAAAGUAAUAAAGCCUAGAUUUUAAAAACACUUCAUUGAAUACUCAUUGGAAGGACUGCUGCUGAAGCUCCAAUAUUUUGGCCAUCUGAUACGAAGAGCAGACUCAUUGGAAAAGACCCUGAUGCUGGGAAAGAUUGAAGGCAAAAGGAGAAGAGGGUGGCAGAGGAUAAGAUGGUUGAACAGCAUUGUAUCAAUUCAAUGGACAUGAACUUGGCGAACUUCGGGAGAUGGUGAGGGACAAGAAAGCCUGGCAUGCUGCAGUCCAUGGAGUCGCAAAUAGUCAGACGCGACUUGGCAACAGAAUGACAAUAAUAGUAUUGACAAUAAGAGUAUUAGGGAGGGAUUUCCCUGGGAGUCCAGUGGUUAAGACUUCACCUUUCAAUGCAGGGGAUGUAGGUUCAAUCCCUGGUUGGGGAACUAAGAGCCUACAUGCCUUCUGGCCAAAAAUCCCAAAACAUAAAACAGAAGCAAUAUUGUAACACAUUCAAUAAAGACUUUUAAAAAAGAGUAGAAGAGAAACUAAGCGACAGUUCUAUGUGGUUCAAGAAAACUACUGACACUUUGAAGAGGGGUCCAAUGGAGAAUGCAUGGAAUUGGAAGAAAUACACUGGAUUGAGUGUACCAAUUUGGCAGAUACUCAGACAUGUACUUUGCACUUAAGAUACAAUUUUAUUUGUUCUUUUUCUAAAUACCAUCUUGGACUUGGAAUGAAGCAGUAUGGAAGCAGCCAGCAAAAUAAUUCAUUUAAGUACAUUUUUGCUUUUAAAAGAGAGCUAAGAUAAAGAAACACUGUGGAAAUGCUAAACCAAGCAACUCAGCACUUUGCAACAGUAUUGGGGGAUUAUGACAAGGGGGUCAGUACAUGAUCAACUUGUGAUAUUACAUUUCCUACACAAGGAAAGCUGUCCAGUUUAUAUGUUCUGUUUGAAAGAAUGCAAGUAAGGACUGGCUUCAAUUUCCCAUGGAAUUUCUAGUAUGAGACUCUAAGUGGAAGUUAUCUCUUUGCACAGAAGUUGGUAUGAUAAAAAAAAUACACAAAUAUAAAAAUAAAAACUCUAUUCAUUCAUCCAUACAUUUAAAGAAUAUCUUUUGGACUUCCCUGCCAGUCCAGCGAUUAAGACUCUGAGCUCCCAGUGUAAGGGGCCUGGCUUCCAUCCCUGGUCAGGGAGCUAGACCUCACAUGCUGCAAUGGAGAUCCAAGAUCCUGCAUGCUGCAACUAAGACCCGAAAUAGCCAAAUUAAUUAAUUCAUUAAUUUUUUAAAAAAGAAUAUCUUCUUAAGCCUCUUAAGUGCCAGGUACAAUGCUGAGCCUCAAGCAUCCAGUGAUGAGACAGUCAGACACUGUUGUUGCCCUUUAUGCCCUUUAGGGCAACAGACAGGGAACAAAUAAUCACAUAAAUCAAUGUAAAAUUUAAAAUAUGAAAAACUGCAUGAAGAAAAAAUCACAUAAAAGAGCAGAAUGUGGCUUCUAAACUAAAGCCUGACAUGUAGGCCAAAUGAAGCAUGGAGGAGAAGAACAGCAUCUGCAGAGGCCCUGAGGCAGGGAAGGGGGUGUAUUGGAGGAGAGGAGGGAGGGUUAGGGUAGCCCGAAGCAUCAGGAGUGAGAAGCAGCAGGCAUCAGAUGGUUGCAGAGAGGCUGGCAGGAGGAGGUCAUACAAAGCUUCUAGGGACAGCUUCAGGAUGUCAGAGUUCUCUCUAAAAGUAAUGACAUGUCUUCAAAGUAUUUGGGACAGAGUUAACCAAUCUAGUUUACUUGUUUAAAAAAAAUAAUUAAUUAGAACUGGUUUUUCCGUUGCUAAAGAAAUGAGGUUGGAUGCUUUUUUUUAAAAGAAAAAUCAAGCUUCCUGAGGUAAGAUUUACAUACAAUACAAUGCGCCCAUUUAGACUUACAAUCUGAUGUGUGGGUUUUUUUUUUCUUUUCAGUUCAGUGGGUUUUUACGAGUUUUGAAACCCAUGUAACCGCCAGCAAGCUAUAGAAUAUUUCCACCACCUCCAACAGUUCCCUUGUGCCCCUGUGCAGUCAGUUCCUGGACUCCAGCCCCAGGAAACCAGCGAUUUGCUGUCUCUGCUCUUAUGAGUUCUGCCUGUACAAGAAUUUCUUAUGAAAGAAUCAGAUGGCAUGCAAUUUUUGUGUGUUUGUCUUCUUUCACUUAGCGUAACGCGUUAAAAAGUCUCCCUAGAUUUGCAUGUAUUGGCAAUCCGUUUUUAUGGCUGAUCAGUGUCCCAUUGCAUGGAUGUACCAUUUCUUUUAUCCAUCCCUCUGUUGAUGGACAUUUGGGUUGUUUCAGGUUUGGGGAUGUUAUGAAUAAAGCUGCUACAAAUAUUGGAGUAUGUGUCUCUGUAUGGUUAUCUUUUUAUUUCUCUUGAGUAAAAUAGCAAGCGUGGAAUUGUGAGGUUGAUGACAAAUUUAUGUUUAACUUCAUAAGAAACCGCCAAUCUCUGUUCCAAAAUGACCAUGCGAUUUUACAGUCCCACCAGGAGUGCAUGAG
ensembl:lincRNA